ACACUCCUACGGGAGGCAGCAGUGGGGAAUAUUGCACAAUGGGCGCAAGCCUGAUGCAGCCAUGCCGCGUGUAUGAAGAAGGCCUUCGGGUUGUAAAGUACUUUCAGCGGGGAGGAAGGCGAUAAGGUUAAUAACCUUGUUGAUUGACGUUACCCGCAGAAGAAGCACCGGCUAACUCCGUGCCAGCAGCCGCGGUAAUACGGAGGGUGCAAGCGUUAAUCGGAAUUACUGGGCGUAAAGCGCACGCAGGCGGUCUGUCAAGUCGGAUGUGAAAUCCCCGGGCUCAACCUGGGAACUGCAUUCGAAACUGGCAGGCUAGAGUCUUGUAGAGGGGGGUAGAAUUCCAGGUGUAGCGGUGAAAUGCGUAGAGAUCUGGAGGAAUACCGGUGGCGAAGGCGGCCCCCUGGACAAAGACUGACGCUCAGGUGCGAAAGCGUGGGGAGCAAACAGGAUUAGAUACCCGAGUAGUCCCAUGAU
rnacentral:rRNA from 1 species